UUGAAUCAUCACUCACUCUCUC
rnacentral:snRNA from 1 species